rnacentral:rRNA from 1 species
CAGUAGCCGCGGGAAUACGAACCGUGCGAACGUUAUUCGGAAUUACUGGGCUUAAAGCGCGUGUAGGCGGGCCGCCACGUCGGUUGCUGAAAUCCCCCGGCUCAACCGGGGAAGUGGCAUCGAUACGAGCGGCCUUGAGGGGGGUAGGGGGAUCUGGAACUUCCGGUGGAGCGGUGAAAUGCGUUGAGAUCGGAAGGAACGCCCGUGGCGAAAGCGAGGUCCUGGACCCUUUCUGACGCUGAGACGCGAAAGCCAGGGGAGCGAACGGGAUUAGAUACCCCCGUAGUCCCUGUCUCUUAUA